rnacentral:rRNA from 1 species
AUUGAACGCUGGCGGAAUGCCUUACACAUGCAAGUCGAACGGCAGCACGGACUUCGGUCUGGUGGCGAGUGGCGAACGGGUGAGUAAUGUAUCGGAACGCGCCCAGUCGUGGGGGAUAACGUAGUGAAAAUUACGCUAAUACCGCAUACGAUCUAUGGAUGAAAGCGGGGGAUCGCAAGACCUCGCGCGAUUGGAGCGGCCGAGAGCAGAUUAGGUAGUUGGGGGGGUAAAGGCCCACCAAGCCAACGAUCUGUAGCUGGUCUGAGAAGACGACCAGCCACACUGGAACUGAGACACGGUCCAGACUCCUACGGGAGGCAGCAGUGGGGAAUUUUGGACAAUGGGCGAAAGCCUGAUCCAGCCAUUCCGCGUGCAGGAUGAAGGCCCUCGGGUUGUAAACUGCUUUUGUACAGAACGAAAAGGUUUCUACUAAUACUAGGAGCUCAUGACGGUACUGUAAGAAUAAGCACCGGCUAACUACGUGCCAGCAGCCGCCGUAA